rnacentral:lncRNA from 1 species
UGUUUGCUUGGUCCUUUCCAGCAGGUGAUUUUUAACAUGCGAGUGCCUGAAAAUCAGAGACAUGGGCUUCCCUAGCUUCUUUUACAUCAAGCUCCAAAUCUAUAUUCACAACUUUGAUAUCCAGGGUGAUAUUCAAAAUAUUCAGCAAUUAGGGAGGAAUGGGCACUGAGUGAUCAGAACUAGAAUGCAUGUUUUCCGAGGCCUUCUGCUGGGAAGGACGUGGGCUGGAAUGGCAGAUACGAUGUGGAGAGAGCUCGGCGUGUGAACCCUCAGAGCCACAUACACCACAACCGUUGUGACAGCACUGCAGUAUUUUAAACACAGGCAUGACUGAACCACUGGGCACUGGAUGAGUGUCAGCUUCGGGGAAUUUUUUCUCCCGUUACAGAGAAAGACCCUCCUCCAAACACACCUGCGCACACCUCUGUGGAAGGCUCACUCUUGCUCUGGGCUUUUGUUAAGUGCUCCCUCCCUCAUCCUCUGGGCCCAAAAAUCUACCCACCUACCUGUCUGUAUACCACUCAUGAUUUUCCUUGUCCUAAAAGUAAUAUUAACUUCAGCACUGUCUUUUUAUUUUCAGCCUCCUCAGAAGAGUUAGUCAGAUGAGUUGAUCUUUCAAAGGCAAGGUUAAGACUUUACGUUUAAUUUCAACUCACAACAGCGUGGCCUCCGCUCGUCCUUCUCUGAAGAAACAGCUCCAGCAUGGCCACCUGUGCACCCCCAACUAUUAACUCAAGGCUUCCAUUUUCAGAGCAUUCUGUCUGACACGUUGGGAAUGUUUAACCCUGCGAAUCCUCUUCUUUCCUUGGUACUUUCUCUUUUUUGGUUUCUGUGACACACUUUCUCAGACUUCGUUUUCCUCAGAACAUCACUUUCUUGUCUCCUCGUAUGGCAAUCCUUUCUUCAUCUAUCCUUUAAAGGUGGGUGUUCCUGAAAGGUGUGCUCUCAGCCUACCCUGUGUGUCCUUCACUCACUUCUGGGCUUAUGGUGUCCAAGGCUGCAGCUCCGGGCACGCUCCCAGCCCCGACGCCAGCACACACAACAACGUCCCUGCUUCAGGAGCACACUCACGCCCCACCACAGUUCCUUUGCUCCUCUCCCCUCCUUCUCAAAUGUCGAUUAACUUAGCCACUUCACCUGCCUUCCAGCCCCACCACUUUAAUUCAGGCCCUCUUACACCUUCUGAUACUUCAGCUCCUUUCUGCAUUAAUACCUCAUCUCUCCUGCCAUUGUUUUCAUUUCUAAAACUCAUAAUUAUGCACUGUGGGCAAACCUUUCAAACCUUUCCAUUACCCGCACACACACACAAAACCCUUCAAACGUAACAUUCAAAAGACUAGCUUUCAACUUACUUUUCAAACUUCCCUGACCAAUAUUCUAGCUAACCUUCCUUUCUUCCUGUUCCCCACAUACAUACAUCUGUGUGUUAUGUGCCGAAUUGUUCCCUCACAAUUUAUAUGUUGAAACCUUAACGUUUGUUUGGAGAUGGGGUCUUUUAAUAAGGUAAAUAAGGUUAAAUGAGAUCGUAAGUAUGGGGCUCUUGUCUCACAGAACUAGCUUUCUUACGAGAAGAGGCAGAGACCCUAGCAAUGCUCACACAGAAAGGAAAGGCCACCUGGGGACAGAGAAAGAAGGCACCUGUCUACAAGCUGAGAAGAGAGGCCUCAGGAGACACCAGCCCUGCCAGCACCUUGAUUUUGGAUUCCAGCCUUCAGAACGAUCACUGAUUUCAAAGAGUUACAGUGAAAGCAGGUGCUUCACAUGCAUGAGGACGUGCUGCAAAGAUGAUUGGACAGGACAUCAGGGAUUCCAGAAAUUACCUGUGGUAAUGCUGCUAACUAGCUCCCUUGAUAAAUGACUUAAUCCUGUGAUCUUUAAUUCUUUAGGGGUGAAAUCACUGUGGUCAUUCUCAAACCUAAAAUGUUAUCCCAAUCAGCACUAUUCAAUAUAAAUGUAAUGCAAGUAACACAUGUAAUUUAAGUUUUUAUCCUAGCCAUACUGGAAAAGUUAGAGAAAUGAAUAAAAUUAAUUUUAAUAAUAUAUUUUACUGUAUAUAUUCAAAAUAUUAUGUUAACAGGUAAGCGAGAGAAUGAUGAAGAUAUAUUGCAUUUUAUAAUACUAACUCUGAAAUCUGGUGUGUAGUUUACAUUUACAACACACCUUAAUUUGACCUAGCCACAUUUCAAGUCCUGAGCAACAUGUGGCCACUGAUGAUGAUAUUAGGCUGCAUAGACAUAAACAUGAAAAUAGUCUUGUUAUUUCUUGUAAAAUAGACACAGAGAGAGAGAGAGAGAGAGUGGGUGAGUGUAAUAAAAUGUUGAGAAUUCUCAGAUCAAUAACUUUGACAUUUUUCCAUGAUGAUACUGUGGAUAUUUUUUAUGUGAACAAAGAAUGACACAGACGUGCACACACACACCCCUCCAAUGUUGCACAGAAACAAAUCAUAUCCAAACUCCACAGUUAAUUGAUAAUUCCAAUGCAAUGCAAGCUUUUCUAUCUUAGUUAUAAAUGGAUUUUAAAAAUUAACCAUGAUAUAUUGAAUAUAGAUUUUAAACUGUGUUCUUGUCAUCC